AUGGCAUAUCGAGGCAUAAGACCCAACAGGACAAAUACUGGAAAUAAAAUAUGCCAGUUCAAACUGGUUCCUUCUAGGAGAGUCUGGUGUUGGCAAAUCAAGCCUGGUGCUUUGCUUUGUGAAAGACCAAUUUCAUGAAUUUCAAGAGAAUACUGCUGGUGUUGCCUUUCUAACCCAAACUGUGUAUCGAUGACACAACAGUAAAUUUUGAAAUAUGAGAUGCAGACGGCCAAGAACUACCGGUAUCAUAGCUUAGCACCAAUGUACUACUGAGAAGCACAAACAGCCAGAGUUGUGUAUGAUAUUACAAAUGAGGAAUCCUUUGCGAGAGCAAAAAACUGGGUUAAAGAACUUCAAAGGCAAGCAAGUCCUAUUAUUGUGUUACUUUUGUCAGGAAACAAAGCUAACUUAGCAAAUAAAACAGCCAUUGACUUCCAGGAAGCACAGUCCUAUGCAGAUGACAACAGCUUAUUAUUUAUGGAGACAUUAGCUAAAUUAUAAAUUAUGGUAUGUAAUAUAAAGGUUCCCAAAGAAGCUUUUAUCCUAAUCUCCAAUAGCAAUGGUGGAAGAGGU
rnacentral:lncRNA from 1 species